AAGUGGAAUCUCACAAGACUCAUAUUCUUGAGAACGGCGGUUCGAAUCCGCCUCCU
rnacentral:tRNA from 1 species